UCGUCUGGUGGGAUAAUCCUUACCUGUUGCUCCUUUGGAGGGCAGAUAGAACAUCAUGAUUAGAGAUGCAUGAAACGUUUAAAUUUAUCUAUAUUAAUAACAAUUUUUAA
rnacentral:snoRNA from 1 species